rnacentral:lncRNA from 1 species
AUACUUCUCCUCACAUGACAAAAACUAGCCCCUAUCUCAAUUAUGUUUCAAAUCUUCCCAUCAACAAACCUGAACAUCCUCCUAUCACAAUUCUAUCCAUUAUAGUGGGUGGUUGAGGGGGACUUAACCAAACACAACUGCGUAAAAUCCUAGCCUACUCCUCAAUCACUCACAUAGGUUGAAUAAUAGCAGUACUAAUUUAUGACCCAAACAUUACCACUCUAAAUCUGAUUAUUUACCUUAUCUUAACAACAACUGCAUUUCUAUCACUCAACCUGAGUAUAAGCAUCACAACCCUGUCACUAUCUCAUGCCUGAAAGAAAUUAGCAUGGUUGACACCUAUAAUUCCACUAAUUCUACUAUCCCUACGAGGUUUACCCCCAUUACAGGGUUCCUGCCUAAAUGAAUCAUCAUCCAAGGAUUUACAAAAAAUUAUAGCCUUGUCACCCCAACCAUUAUAGCUAUCAUAACCCUACUCAACCUGUACUCUUACAUACACCUCAUUUAUUCCAUCUUGGUAACACUAUUCCCCACAUCUAAUAAUAUGAAACUAAAAUGACAAUUCGAAAUCGCAAAACCCACACUACUCCCUCCUCACUUGUCAUCUCUUCUACCGUCCUCUUACCCACCUCUCCAUUAAUACUAACUAUA